AACGAACGCUGGCGGCAGGCUUAACACAUGCAAGUCGAGCGCCCCGCAAGGGGAGCGGCAGACGGGUGAGUAACGCGUGGGAAUCUACCCAUCUCUACGGAAUAACGCAUGGAAACGUGUGCUAAUACCGUAUACGUCCUUCGGGAGAAAGAUUUAUCGGAGAUGGAUGAGCCCGCGUUGGAUUAGCUAGUUGGCGGGGUAAAGGCCUACCAAGGCGACGAUCCAUAGCUGGUCUGAGAGGAUGAUCAGCCACACUGGGACUGAGACACGGCCCAGACUCCUACGGGAGGCAGCAGUGGGGAAGAUUGGACAAUGGGCGCAAGCCUGAUCCAGCCAUGCCGCGUGAGUGAUGAAGGCCCUAGGGUUGUAAAGCUCUUUCACCGGUGAAGAUAAUGACGGUAACCGGAGAAGAAGCCCCGGCUAACUUCGUGCCAGCAGCCGCGGUAAUAC
rnacentral:rRNA from 1 species